rnacentral:pre_miRNA from 1 species
UUGAUGUACAGAUUAAUGCACCGACGAUACGCAGGGAUUGAGGCACGCCGUGGCGUGCCUCAAUCCCUGCGUAUCGUCGGUGCAUUCGUCGGUGCAUUCA